GCGGGAGUGGUGGAAUUGGUAGACACGCUAGACUUAGGAUCUGGUGCCGCAAGGUGUGAGAGUUCGAGUCUCUUCUCCCGUA
rnacentral:tRNA from 2 species